rnacentral:rRNA from 1 species
UACGGAGGGUGCAAGCGUUGCUCGGAAUUACUGGGCGUAAAGCGCGCGCAGGCGGUGCUGUAAGACCGAUGUGAAAUCCACGGGCUUAACCUGGGAACUGCAUUGGUGACUGCAGCGCUGGAGUAUGGCAGAGGGGGGUGGAAUUCCACGUGUAGCAGUGAAAUGCGCAGGUAUCGGGAGGAACACCCGUAGCGAAGGCGGCACUCUGGGCCGGUACUGACGCUGAGGAGCGAAAGCGUGGGGAGCAAACAGG